UACGGAGGGUGCGAGCGUUGUUCGGAAUCAUUGGGCGUAAAGAGCGUGUAGGCGGCCAGGUAGGUCGGUUGUGAAAACUGGAGGCUCAACCUUCAGAGGUCGACCGAAACCAUCUGGCUAGAGUCCGGGAGAGGAGAGUGGAAUUCCUGGUGUAGCGGUGAAAUGCGCAGAUAUCAGGAAGAACACCCGUGGCGAAGGCGGCUCUCUGGGACGGUACUGACGCUGAGACGCGAAAGCGUGGGGAGCGAACAGG
rnacentral:rRNA from 1 species